CGUGUGUCGCCGCCCCACGCCCGGCUACCGCAUGCACCAGCCACACCGCAGGUCGCCGCUCACGGCAACUACGCACACACACGCAGCAGCCACCGUCGCCCCGCGAGCUUCGCCUGGCCGCGCACUGCCGCAACCACACGUGAGCUUUUCUGACACCCACCGCCCACGGUCGACCUGCGAACCACACACGCACCGUCGCGAAGUGUUGAUUGAUCCCCUCCAUGGCCUCGUGCUCGCCGUCACAGCUCGUCGCCCUGGGGACGGAGAGGGGCAAGAUCCGUGGAGCUGCGCAUGGGGUCAGCAUAUCGUCCUCCUGCUCCUCAAUUCUGGUCGGGUAUCGUUUGGUCCGUGCGGCAGAGAUGGUGAAUUCCUCCUUGGGUGCCCCAGGGUGGUGCGGCCUUAUAUUUCAAGAAAUAAAAUCUUAUGGUUACAUGCUAUCAGUUAAGGUGAAUCCGUGAAAGGCCGCUUGAAUUGUAUGCCUCGCUCAGCAGCAUACUACUGCUCCUGCGCAUGCAGAUGGCGCAACAGCAGGCUGCGCGAGCACACACGCAGGCAGCAAGGUGCAUAGACAAGAGAGGGAUGA